GAGAACGCGCAGGAACUCCCGCCUGUAAAUGUCUGCAGAGUAAAUGGCUUGUGCCAUGGGCUCCACUGCAGCCUGCGAGGUCGGGCAUUACCACCUUCAGAUCCGUCAGGAGGCUCCUGGGAGAAGAAUGGCUCAGAUGCUUCUAAGAAAAUGUCAGCUCAUUUCAUUUGAAGGAAAAGGCCUGGGAUUGAGUCCAGGGCCUGGGGGUUGAGCUGAAGCAGGACUGUAAAGCCAGUGUUUUGGUAGUGGCCCCUGGGACGUCCCUGGAAUCUUCUAGGACUCUCACUUGAUAAAUUCGAAAGUUAACAG
rnacentral:lncRNA from 1 species